ACUUUAUUAGUAUAAAAAGUAUGUUUGUUUUCCAAACAAAGGGUUUAAAAUAUUAAAUAAAG
rnacentral:tRNA from 1 species